rnacentral:rRNA from 1 species
AAUAGAUACCCAGGUAGUCCACGCCGUAAACGAUGUCGACUUGGAGGUUGUGCCCUUGAGGCGUGGCUUCCGGAGCUAACGCGUUAAGUCGACCGCCUGGGGAGUACGGCCGCAAGGUUAAAACUCAAAUGAAUUGACGGGGGCCCGCACAAGCGGUGGAGCAUGUGGUUUAAUUCGAUGCAACGCGAAGAACCUUACCUACUCUUGACAUCCAGAGAACUUAGCAGAGAUGCUUUGGUGCCUUCGGGAACUCUGAGACAGGUGCUGCAUGGCUGUCGUCAGCUCGUGUUGUGAAAUGUUGGGUUAAGUCCCGCAACGAGCGCAACCCUUAUCCUUUGUUGCCAGCGGUUCGGCCGGGAACUCAAAGGAGACUGCCAGUGAUAAACUGGAGGAAGGUGGGGAUGACGUCAAGUCAUCAUGGCCCUUACGAGUAGGGCUACACACGUGCUACAAUGGCAUAUACAAAGAGAAGCGACCUCGCGAGAGCAAGCGGACCUCAUAAAGUAUGUCGUAGUCCGGAUUGG